GCUUGUCUCAAAGAUUAAGCCAUGCAUGUCUAAGUAUAAAUGGUAUACAGUGAAACUGCGAAUGGCUCAUUAAAACAGUUAUAGUUUAUUUGGUAAUCGAAUUUACAUGGAUAACCGUGGUAAUUCUAGAGCUAAUACAUGCUGUAAAGCCCGACUUUUCGGAAGGGCCGUAUUUAUUAGAUAACAGACCAAUAUUCCUCGUGUCUAUUGUGGUGAAUCAUAGUAACUGAUCGAAUCGCAAAGCCUUUGGCUGCGAUAUGUCAUUCAAGUUUCUGCCCCAUCAGCUUUCGAUGGUAGUGUAUUGGACUACCAUGGCUUUUACGGGUAACGGAGAAUUAGGGUUCGAUUCCGGAGAGGGAGCCUGAGAAACGGCUACCACAUCUAAGGAAGGCAGCAGG
rnacentral:rRNA from 1 species